AGAACGAACGCUGGCGGCAGGCUUAACACAUGCAAGUCGAACGCCCCGCAAGGGGAGUGGCAGACGGGUGAGUAACGCGUGGGAAUGUGCCUUUUGGUUCGGAACAACUCCGGGAAACUGGAGCUAAUACCGAAUGUGUCCGUAAGGAGAAAGAUUUAUCGCCAAAAGAUCAGCCCGCGUCAGAUUAGCUAGUUGGUGGGGUAAAAGCCUACCAAGGCGACGAUCUGUAGCUGUUCUGAGAGGAAGAUCAGCCACACUGGGACUGAGACACGGCCCAGACUCCUACGGGAGCAGCAGUGGGAAUCUUGGACAAUGGGCGCAAGCCUGAUCCAGCCAUGCCGCGUGAGUGAUGAAGGCCUUAGGUGUAAACUCUUUCGCCGGGACGAUAAUGGACGGUACCCGGAGAAGAAGCUACCGGCUAACUUCGCGCCAGCAGCCGC
rnacentral:rRNA from 1 species